AUUUUAAGUACAAAGUUAGUUCAUCAAGCCCAUUGAGUAAAGAAAAGGCAGGAUGACCAAUGAACGUGAAUACUGAUCAGUCCAUUCAACUUUAUAGUACGCGUGUUCUAUUUUUGCAGGUGUGAGGUCGAAUGUUUGAAUUGACCAAUGAAAACAACCGUUCCCUUACAAGUUCAUCUAAUAAAGUUUAUUCUUGAUUAUGUCGCACGACGUUUUGCUAAGCUUAGCCAGAUUUAAGUGUAUAUCUCAAAUUGAUCGUAAGUUAUUGUUCUGAAGACACAUUGUAUUAGACAACCAAUU
rnacentral:lncRNA from 1 species